ACGGUUCUGCCCUCCUCGUACAUGGAGACUACAUUCCGGUGGCCUUAAGCAAUUCCGCGGGAGCUGGCUCUGUCUAGACCCUGGUCUAGUUACCUGGUGCCCACCUGUACAUACAGGUCUGCGGGAAUAAGUUCUCCCACGGUUGUGGUGGUUCCGUC
rnacentral:misc_RNA from 1 species